UACGUAGGCAGCGAGCGUUGUUCGGAGUUACUGGGCGUAAAGCGUGCGUAGGCGGUGUCUUAAGUUUGUUGUGAAAUCUCCCGGCUUAACCGGGAGGGUACGGCGAAUACUGAGAUGCUGGAGUGCCGGAGAGGUAAGCGGAAUUCCUGGUGUAGCGGUGAAAUGCGUAGAUAUCAGGAGGAACACCUGCGGUGUAGACGGCUUACUGGACGGUAACUGACGCUGAGGCACGAAAGCGUGGGUAGCAAACAGG
rnacentral:rRNA from 1 species